rnacentral:rRNA from 1 species
UACGUAGGGUGCGAGCGUUGUCCGGAUUUACUGGGCGUAAAGGGCUCGUAGGCGGUUUGUCGCGUCGGGAGUGAAAACCUUGGGCUUAACUCAGGGCUUGCUUUCGAUACGGGCAGACUAGAGGUAUGCAGGGGAGAACGGAAUUCCUGGUGUAGCGGUGAAAUGCGCAGAUAUCAGGAGGAACACCGGUGGCGAAGGCGGUUCUCUGGGCAUUACCUGACGCUGAGGAGCGAAAGUGUGGGGAGCGAACAGG